GAUGAACGCUGGCGGCGUGCUUAACACAUGCAAGUCGAACGGUGAACGAGGGAGCUUGCUCCCUCCGGAUCAGUGGCGAACGGGGGAGUAACACGUGAGCAAUCUGCCCUGGACUCUGGGAUAAGCGUUGGAAACGACGUCUAAUACCGGAUACGAGGCGUGGGGGCAUCCCCAACGCCUGGAAAGAACUUCGGUCCAGGAUGAGCUCGCGGCCUAUCAGGUAGUUGGGGAGGUAACGGCUCACCAAGCCGACGACGGGUAGCAGGCCUGAGAGGGUGACCGGCCACACUGGGACUGAGACACGGCCCAGACUCCUACGGGAGGCAGCAGUGGGGAAUAUUGCACAAUGGGCGCAAGCCUGAUGCAGCAACGCCGCGUGAGGGACGACGGCCUUCGGGUUGUAAACCUCUUUUAGCAGGGAAGAAGCGAAAGUGACGGUACCUGCAGAAAAAGCACCGGCUAACUACGUGCCAGCCGCCGCCGUAAAAC
rnacentral:rRNA from 1 species